CCCGUUGGGGUGAUGUCCACAUGUGAGUCCAGCCUGAGGAAGAGUGACCUCUGAGGCUGCCCUGCUCCAGCAGGAGCUCCCUACAUUCCACACGCACCACUUAAAACUGAUUUGCGUCAUCACAUCUUCUGACAGCGGUAUUUCUCUAUGUACAGUGUGUAAGUGUGUAUGUGAGUUCUGCUGGAGGCUGCCACAGAAGAAAAGAUGAGAAAGUAAAUUGUCUUGCUGUCGAAGAUGUUUAUAUUAAUUAAAAUAGAGCUUUAUGUUUGUAAUUGAAGGUGAUUGGCCUCACAGGGUGUUCUACUCUCGCAGCCACAUAAGAAAAGUGACACGAGUGAGCUGUAUUCUUGUAUUGUGACUCAUGUAAUCAGUACUUUUUACAGGGUGUCUGCGGGGCAUUAAAAAGUCUUAAAUUGCUUUUCCUAAAAAUAAGGCCUUAAAAAGUCUUAAAUUGUCUUAAAUUCAGAUUGGAUUGGUCUUAAAUUUUUUGGGUGUCAUGUCACUGCGAAUAUGAGGCAAUCUGUUCCACCAGGUCCGUAUUUUGCUCCGGUUGCUCUGCGGCGUCUCUGGUGUCACCGGGGCCACGCCCCUUCUCUUAAAGGGGCCCCGCGUAUUCGGUCCCAUCCCCUACAACGUGAAGCAUCGGCUAGUUUAGAAAACAUGGGGGAUGCAAGUUCAACAACGGCUAGAAAAGAACGAGUGUUUCUGGUCACGGUGGGUGAAAUGCUUCUGAAGCUGCGUUAUGUGUUGGGAGACUUUCCAGCGGUGGAAUCUCACGAGCAGAGCAAGAAGCACAGAGACUAGCGAAGGCCGCCAGCAGCCCGCGGGGCUAGCUGCUGCUCCGCCGCUAGCUCCUGCUCCGCCGCCAGCAACGACGUCAACGCUACAACGCUGGAGGUCACCGGAGGAAAUCCAGCGCCGUGCAACAAAGAGCUCAUCACCGAAGUCCAACGCUGCAGUGCGUUCUUCAUUCUGUUCCACGAGACUCUGGACCAGACCACCGCGAGCAGACAGCUGGACUUCAUGUGCGCUAUCGGUGAAAUGGCCACGUCCCGUCAGGAUCCUAUGGAGCUCAUGGGCCAUGACACGCCCAGGACCUACUUCAGCAUCUCAAAGAGAAUGGACCAAAUGUCAACUGGAAGUUUUUGUAUUCAUACAGUUUGAAAAGGAUUGUUUUCUAGUAUAUUCACAAAAGCUCAGGAGUAGACAUGAACCUGUGCACAAACAUCCAUCACAUAGAGACAUGAGAACUCACACUCACUCACCCACACACACAUACAUUCUAUUAUGUAAAUGAAUUUGCAUUUUAAAAGCAGCUGGAAAUGUUAUUUAUGUUAUUUUAUAGAUUUUUUUGUUCAAAAGGAACUAUGUUGCACGUAUUAAAAAAAUAUAUUUACUUGAUUUUAUAGACAUUUGUUCAUGGGACUUAAAUGUUCAGAAAAUGUUGUAUUAAUAAAUAUAAUUUACAACAGCAA